AUGGUAACAAGCCAGCCUCAACUGCUUGAGCUAAGAGCAAGCUCAGUGUUUCCUUCAAGCAGCAUCGUGGACAGAUUCCUGCCAGACCCUUCAGAGCAAGCACCCCACACCCCUAGCCCAGGGUCUCUUCAUCGAUAGGGGGUGAUCUGUCUGCCCCUCACUGUUUUCUCCAAAUAGCAUCUCCAAAUGGACUAGACUCGACAAGCAAACAGUCUGCAGUGGACCCCUUGGGUCAUCCAUUCUGAUGGAAACAAUAAUGACAGUAAUUCGCAUCACUAACCUUCCCUGAAAGCUUACUACAUGUCAGGAAGUGCUAUUCUAAAAGGGCUUCACAUGUAUUCAUUCAUUUCAUCCUCCUGACAAUCCUGUGAUACAGGUGUUUUUGUUAUGAGUCCUAUUUCAACAAAGCACAAGUGAAUACACCUUCUCCACAGCCCAGCCACAGUGAGGGAGUCAUCAGCACUGGAACCCGGGGUCCACGGCCUUGGAGGAUCCGGACCCUCCGCAUUUGAGGAACUUGGCCUUCAGUCAGGGA
ensembl:lncRNA LINC00595 long intergenic non-protein coding RNA 595